UACGUAGGUGGCGAGCGUUGUCCGGAUUUACUGGGCGUAAAGGGCGUGCAGGCGGUUUGUUAAGUGCAGGGUGAAAGCUCCCCGGCUCAACUGGGGGGAGGUCCUUGCAUACUGGCGAACUCGAGGGAGGCAGAGGAAAGUGGAAUUCCCGGUGUAGUGGUGAUAUGCGUAGAUAUCGGGAGGAACACCUGUGGCGAAGGCGGCUUUCUGGGCCUUACCUGACGCUGAGACGCGAAAGCGUGGGGAGCGAACCGG
rnacentral:rRNA from 1 species